AUUGAACGCUGGCGGCAUGCCUUACACAUGCAAGUCGAACGGCAGCGGGCCUUCGGGUGCCGGCGAGUGGCGAACGGGUGAGUAAUGCAUCGGAACGUGCCAUUGAGUGGGGGAUAACGUAGCGAAAGUUGCGCUAAUACCGCAUAUUCUGUGAGCAGGAAAGCAGGGGACCGCAAGGCCUUGCGCUCUUUGAGCGGCCGAUGUCAGAUUAGCUAGUUGGUGAGGUAAAGGCUCACCAAGGCGACGAUCUGUAGCGGGUCUGAGAGGAUGAUCCGCCACACUGGAACUGAGACACGGUCCAGACUCCUACGGGAGGCAGCAGUGGGGAAUUUUGGACAAUGGGCGCAAGCCUGAUCCAGCCAUGCCGCGUGAGUGAAGAAGGCCUCGGUUGUAAG
rnacentral:rRNA from 1 species